rnacentral:lncRNA from 1 species
UUUUUUUUUUUUUUUUGCCUUUUAGGGCCAUACCCACGGCAUAUGGGGAUCCCAGGCUAGGGACUGAAUGAAGAGCUUGUACUUUUUUCUGAAGAAGAAAAAAGUAUAUAUAUGUACACAUAUAUGAGGUCUUGAUCAAUACUUACUUUACAUAUUCUUUUCAAGACAUUUGGGAAAAUUGAAUAAACAACUUUAAAUAACCUGAUAUUAGAUAAGAAAAUAUCUAAAUACAACAAACAGGGGAUGAACAAUGAAUACAUUCUGUAAGUGGCAAGUAAGAGAAUUAUUUUGAGAUUAAAUAAAACAAAAUUCAUUCUAAAGACCUAUAGCACAUACAUUGCACACCUACACUGUAAAGUUUCUCAAAACAUUGUUUACCAUUGUUAAACGCUAAGGUAAAAUUUUUUUUAUCACUUUAAUCCUUGGGGUAACUGAGUGUGGAGAUGUACACACACAUUAUUUAUGCACAUGCAUAACACAUAUGAUUGUGUGUGUGUAUAUAUACAUAAAGAACUAUUUUUUUGCUGGUUUCUUCACUUAUAUUAGUAAUGGCAGGUUCUACAUGCUUUAUUUGGCAAGGAAGUACUUCAAAUGCAGGAAUAAAAGUAAAUAUACAUGUAUGUAAUUUUAAAAGAGAAUAUUAAAUGCAUAAGGCAGAACAGUAUACAGUAAUGCCAGGGAAAGCAUGAGAGUUUAAAAUGAAGGUUUCUAAUAUUACCUUUAAAAGAAAAUUUCAAGGACAUCAUUGAAGAUAAAAGGCAGAAUAUCAGAGUCAUUAAAGUUUAGACUUAAGCCAUGUAGUCUAAUGAAUCCAAGCACACGAUGAAAGUAAAUCUACUGUAUUAAAGACAUAAGAUAAACUUAUUUAUAUGUUUCAUAGAAGCGGUGGUAGGAGAUGUGUGUAAAAGAGAUGAAAGUGAGAGCACCUCUGUAAAUAUGGAUUGUUCUCAUGUGGGCAGGGCCAAAUCAGUAGGUAAAUCUCAUACACCUCUGAAAAAUAUUGGCAGACCUAAUCUUAGCUUGAACUGUUUGCAAUUGACUUAUCUCUCUAAGGAGAGGGGGAGAAAGUCAACAUUUAAAUACUAAGAGACUUAAGGAAAUGUUAAGAUCAGUGUAAUUGUCAGAGCAAUUUGUAUUCAUACAUUAGAAGGGAAAUUAUUAGGGGAAAAAGAGAAAAUUUCAGGUAAACAGAUAACUAGGCCUCAAAGCAUGAUGUUGUGAAAUAAUGGGAAAAAAAUCAGUAAAUAAUCAGCAACAAAAAUAAGCAUUUAGUUAAACAAAUGACCCCCCAAAAGUUCAAGAAAAAACAUUAUGUGAGCAGUUCAUUUGAAAUUUUACAUGGCAGAAAUAUAAAAUUCAUUGAAUUGAGGGUAAAACAAAAUUUUGUGCUGAUAAAUGUCAUCUAGACUAUAAAUAGUCCCUGAAGUGGAGUCUUAAAAAUUGAAUAAAUAAAAUGACUUUAAGAAAGUUUAGAGAAAUCAAUUUACAUUCACAUUGGCUGAUGACUUGAUCAAAAUGAGAAAAAAAAAUUAUUCUGUUUAAACACUACUUUAAAAAAAAAAGUUGGAGAGCAUGAUGAAUGUAUAAACACAGAAAACUUUAUACAAAGAAAUAAGGUGGAUAAUGAAACUUCAAGUGGUUUUGUUCCACUUAGUAAAUAAAGAGACGUACUAACCACAAUGGCUAGUCCUUCUUUAAACUCUUAAGUAUAGUGACAUCUAUGCCAUCUGACAAUCUACUAAGAGAAAGACAAAACACUUAGGUGCCAGAUUCCUGAAAGAUACAUGCGUGCAACAGGCACAUUACAUACACUUUUCCAGGGACAUGGAAGCAUACCUCAUUAAAUUCCCUUUUAAAGCUGAAAAAAAAAAAAAACUUUCUAAGAAGCAUAUUAUAUAAUAAUUUAUUUUAGAAAUCACCACUCAGGAAAAAAUGUUUCUGAUGCCUCUGUUUGUUUGAUUGAAAUGGAGAAGUUUGAUCCUUCUACCCUGACACUUUGAAGAAACAUUUGACACAAACCUUGCAUUUGAGUGCAAGAAGUGACUAGAAAUUUUUUAAAGGAAUAUAGUCUAUCAAACCUUGUAGUGAAAUCAGUUCAUCAUUUUCCAGAUUGGUACUCAGUGCGCUUAAGGGAAGAUUUGUUUGUGGCAAACGUGGGUUUUCUGUCUUGAAAGAGACCAAACGGUUUGGUUUAGAGUGCUACUUCUCAGAUGAACUCCUUUGAAGAACUGGAAAUAUAGUCUUAAGAGUUCCAAGAAUGCAUAAGGUUUCAAAGUGGGAACAUCUUGCUCAUGCAAUAGUUUAUAAAAAACAAACAAAAAGCAGGUAUAACACACAUACAUACCCACAAAUAGACUGUACACACACACAUACACACACACACUCACACAAAACUGAUAAAACUUCUGAAAGCAAGUAUUUUCAUUGAAAUGUUAUAAAUCACAUAAGUUCUUUUCUAUAUACCUUAUUUCCAUGAGUAUAUUCUAUAAAUCAUACACAUUAAAAUCCAAACAAAAUAAAAAGUAUCAGACUACUACUACUACUCCAUGAUAAGACAGUUAUCAUAAAAAUUCAGAAUUCUAAAAUAUCAGAAUCCUGCAACUGUUCUGCAUGUUUCUCUGUGACAGCUGGUUAUCUGCUUGAAUGAAAGCAAUGAUGACUAGUCAGGGUUAAAGUAAAACUUUCCCCUUCGAACUUCACAUUUAAAUUUUGAAUAAUAGAGAAGUUCGGCUCACCUAUUAAAUUUCAUUUUAGCCCUGACAUUUCAGUAACAGCAUUAAAAUUUGCUUUGCAUUAAGGGGCAGUGGUGACAAUGGAUUUGAUAGACGUAUUAACCUUGUAGUUAAGCAGAAAGAAAUCUUCCAUCCUUGUAACUGUGCUAGGUAGGUUUAUGUAGUUUUAGGUAACAUCAGCUCUGUCUGUAUGCAAGUGUCAGUUAUCCUCGUUCUUCAAUAAACAACCAAGGACUCGAAUCAUAUUAAUUCUGACCAUCCCCUUUCAGAUUCCCCUAUGUCAUUCCUCUCUUUUGUUCUGAGCUUGUGAUUUAAGUAAACAGUAGCAGUCUAUGUAAUCUGAAUGGCUGUGCAAUGUUACCCUUAAAGAUUUACUAGUCCUGCUAGUUUUACAUGGUUUGAUUAGUAUAUCUAUCUUCAGAGACUGCUAGGACAACUGUUUCUUGGCUUUCAGGGCCCAGGGUUUUCGGUUGUGGUAUUUAGUAAGCAAAAUGUCCUGCUCUACAGCGCCUCUUGUUCAUGGGCAAAUAUGCAAAGGUGAAUUGAGCUAUUUACAUGGUGUGAGUGAGUUUCGGUGUACUCUGUAAUAAUCCUUUGGUUAACAACACAGUACUUUCCCAAUUCAGAGUAAAUAAGCUAAGAUUAUUAUUGUUUUUACAAGAUGCAUUUACAAGGCUUGGAGCAGCUUCCUCCCUGUUUUCCAAGGACUAAAAAC